rnacentral:tRNA from 1 species
GCCCUCGUAGCUCAACUCGGUAGAGCUCCUCACUUGUAAUGAGGGGGUUACCGGUUCGAAUCCGGUCGAGGGCUCCA